rnacentral:rRNA from 1 species
UACGAGAUGUGCAAGCGUUGUUCGGAUUUACUGGGCAUAAAGGGUGCGUAGGCGGUUUGGUAAGUCAGUGGUGAAAUACCUCGGCUCAACCGGGGAAUUGCCUCUGAUACUGCCAGGCUUGAGAGUGAAAGGGGCAAGCGGAAUUCCAGGUGUAGCGGUGGAAUGCGUAGAUAUCUGGGAGAACGCCGAUGGCGAAGGCAGCUUGCUGGGUCACUUCUGACGCUGAGGCACGAAAGCUAGGGGAGCAAACAGG